ensembl:antisense
UGACAAUAAACUGUUUAGAACCAUGGGCUGUAUCUUUUCAUCAAGAUCUGCAGUGAGGAGCCAUGAAGGAGGCCUUCACCUACAGAGUCUUAGCCUAAUCUCCCGUAGAAGGCCCCUCUACGCCACAACAGCCACCAAGCCUGCCUCCACCUAGAUAAAGACAAUCACCACAUGAGACAAGCCUUGUGCCCCAGCCCCAGGCUAGAUGGUAUACCAGCCCACGGAUCCCACACUCUGUUCUCUGCUCUUUGGUGACUCCCAGUGGUGCCUGGAUAUCCAAGAGUCUGAGAAGAACCCCACAGCCCCAGCCUUGUCACAGGCCCAGGGACCCCAAGCCAGCUCCAAUUUCCCAUGUCUCAGACUGCACCUUCCCACCCCCAGAUCUGUGUCUUGCCACUUUCCUACAGCUCAGCACCCACCUCAGCAGUGGCGGCAUGGGGUAAGCACAGUCAAACUCCCAGCAUUCCACCCAGUGUCAGAGUAGACACAGGCAAACAACCCUACAAGACAUCUCAGAAGUUCUGCUCUCAGACAUGGUGUCUGGGGAUGCUUGCCAUAGAAUACAAGCUAAGGACUUUCCCAAGGAGGACCUUCCCAAGUCUGCCCACCUCAUAGUCUUUUUGGUCUCACGAGCUGUGAUGACCUACUUUGUCUGGGAAAUUAACAGAUCAGGACCCAAGUGGACAAGAAAGUUGUGGAGGCUGAGGGCACCAUGGAAGCACCUCUGUGGUAGUUGCAGGCAUGUGUGCUGUGCAGCACUCUUCAACCUAAGAGCACCAAAACUUUCUCUGCCGAGUGUAUCAGCAACAAAUGCAAAGGCCACUUCCAUAAGAUCUGGUCACCCACAGUAUCACUCAUACUAAGGUGCCAGGGAUUGAACUUGGAUCACCAGGCUUGGAGGCAAGCACCUUUGACAUACUAAGCCACUGCCGUCCAUAAGAACAUUACACAAAGACCUGGAAUCUUCAAAGCCAAGCUGUGUAUGAUACACAGAAGUGGGAAAGAGGCAAAUCAUUUAUUUGUUACUAGGUACUUUUUCUUGUGGGAAGAAAGUUUUUUGUUAAUUCACUCAACAUUUAUUGAGAGAUGCAAGCCAUCAAAGAAAUGGCCCCUCCAGAAACUAGACACUACAGACCAAGGGUGAACGCCUAGCCUGGAUCACCGCAGCUCAGGAAGAGGCUGCAGAAACAGAAAGUGCCCUAGAUCCUUGAAGACUUUACAAUUGUUUAAAAUCACUUAAACUCUCUGGUAAAAGAUAUAGAUACUGACUAAUUAUUACAUAAUUUAUUUUUAUUCAUAACUCUGUAUACUGUUAAUUCUUAAAGUAAUUUCAUUCUUCCUAAUCCAUUAUUAAAAUAUUUUUUUCAUGCCCAUU